CCCGGAUUGGACGCGGCGCUGCUCUCGCUGGCAGGACCGGAAACGGGCCGUCCUGAGGGAGCGGGAGCCCAGCCGGAGUGGGCCUUGUCGACCAGAGUUAUGUCUUCAGAUUUUCCUCUCUCAUAAGCAACCUGGUCUCCCUCCUCUGAGCACUGUAGAAAGCUCCAGAAGCUGACUGAAGCCCUGUGGGUACUUUCCCAGCAAGUUCACACAAAGAAGGCUGAAGAGGACAUCUUGCCUCUCAGUUUCUGAAGGA